rnacentral:misc_RNA from 1 species
CGCACCUUGCACCCUUUGGUAUUCCGAAGGGUAUGCCUGUUUGAGUGUCAUUUAAUUCUCAACCAUUGAAGUUUUUACCGACUUUCUUUGGCUUGGAUGUGGGGGUUUGCAGGUCUCUUUACAGAGAUCAGCUCCUCUUAAAAGCAUUAGUGAGGACCGUUUGUAGGGGUUCAUCCAUUAUUCACUUGGGCGUGAUAAUUUAUCGUCGUCUCUAACGAAUAAGAACUCUGAGGCUCUUGCUUUCUCAACUGUCCUUCAUUGGACUGUCCUUUUGGGCAUAGACAUCUUUAUUUGACCUCAAAUCAGGUAGGACUACCCGCUGAACUUAA